GAGGGUAUAGCUCAAGUGGUAGAGCGUGUGCUUAAGCAUGCACAAGAUCCUGGGUUCAAUCUCCAGUACCUCCU
rnacentral:tRNA from 1 species